CUGAUAUUCAUCUCAGAUUUAUACAGUUUCCAUCAGGAUUUAUGCAAAUUUGGCAUCAUUUUCACUUCUCAUUUAUAUCCUCAGAGCUCCCCAUCUCACUAGACAGAUUCACCUCACAGAAGCCAUCAAAGAUCUAACCAUUCCUCCACUAUGCCGUACUUCCUUCCAGUUCUCUUCACAUUGGCUGUCUUCUCUUCCCGAAGCCUCUCCCAGAUAGUCCUGACCCAGUCAGAUCCAGUGCUGAAAAAAACAGGAGAAGCCCAUAAACUGACGUGUGUUGUCACUGGAUUUAAUGUUAACAGCUACUGGAUGGGUUGGAUCAGACAGAAACCUGGCCAAGGACUGGAAUGGCUUGUUUGGUACUAUGACCCUAGGAAUACCAUCUAUUAUUCAACAACAAUCCAAGGACGCUUUACUCCCUCCAAGGACAGUUCCAAUUUCUAUCUGCAAAUGAACAACCUGAAAACUGAAGACACGGCUGUGUAUUAUUGUGCAAGAGACACAGUGAAAGGAGUCCUAGGAGAACUCAUGCAAAAACCCUUUCUUUAAUGACUGA